CUUCAUCUCUCUAAUCUCUUCACACACACAAACCCAAACAGAAAGAACACUCCUUUCCCCAUUCUUCUCUCUCUCCCUGUUUGUUUUUUGUUUCUAUUUCUCCGAUCUUUGAUCUUUCUUUUGCUUUUUCCCUUCUUCAGCUUUCAAUUCCGUUCGAUUUGGGGUCUUUUUCAGUAACAGCCGCAUUAAAUUUUUGAUAAAAGGGUUACAGUAUUCCACGAUGGAGAAUGAAUGAGCUGAAGCGAUGCUAAGGAAGAAGAGUGAGUAUUGUAGUUCUUUUGUGUUUUUCCUUGGUCAGUUUGGUGGGUUCUUCUCUCUGAUCUUUUUUGU
rnacentral:lncRNA from 1 species